UAUAUUCUUCGGGGCAGGGUGUAAUUCCCGACCGACGGUAAUAAGCAAGUAAGCUUAAAGUCCGUGACCCGCAAUUUUGCGGUGGAUCUAGUGAGAGUCUAGAACCGACAGUUAAAGUCUGGAUGGGAGAAGAAUUUA
rnacentral:ncRNA from 2 species